UCGGGAAUUUUGGGCAAUGGGCGAAAGCCUGACCCAGCAACGCCGCGUGAAGGAUGAAGUAUUUCGGUAUGUAAACUUCGUAAGAAUAGGAAGAAUAAAUGACGGUACUAUUUGUAAGGUCCGGCUAACUACGUGCCAGCAGCCGCGGUAAUACGUAGGGACCAAGCGUUGUUCGGAUUUACUGGGCGUAAAGAGUUCGUAGGCUGAUAGUUAAGUCAGGGGUGAAAUCCUGGGGCUCAACCCCAGAACUGCCUUUGAUACUGGCUGUCUCGAGGUCGAGAGAGGUUGGUGGAAUUCCUAGUGUAGAGGUGAAAUUCGUAGAUAUUAGGAAGAACACCAGUGGCGAAGGCGGCCAACUGGCUCGAUACUGACGCUGAGGUGCGAAAGCGUGGGGAGCAAACAGGAUUAGAUACCCCGGUAGUCCCUGAGCGGGCUGGCAAGGCGCAU
rnacentral:rRNA from 1 species